GACGAACGCUGGCGGCGUGCUUAACACAUGCAAGUCGAACGGAAAGGCCCUGCUUUUGUGGGGUGCUCGAGUGGCGAACGGGUGAGUAACACGUGAGUAACCUGCCCUUGACUUUGGGAUAACUUCAGGAAACUGGGGCUAAUACCGGAUAGGAGCUCCUGCUGCAUGGUGGGGGUUGGAAAGUUUCGGCGGUUGGGGAUGGACUCGCGGCUUAUCAGCUUGUUGGUGGGGUAGUGGCUUACCAAGGCUUUGACGGGUAGCCGGCCUGAGAGGGUGACCGGCCACAUUGGGACUGAGAUACGGACCAGACUCCUACGGGAGACAGCAGUGGGGAAUAUUGCACAAUGGGCGGAAGCCUGAUGCAGCAGCGCCGCGUGCGGGAUGACGGCCUUCGGGUUGUAAACCGCUUUCGCCUGUGACGAAGCGUGAGUGACGGUAAUGGGUAAAGAAGCACCGGCUAACUACGUG
rnacentral:rRNA from 1 species